GGGGUUCUAGCUCAAAUGGUAGAGCGCUCGCUUAGCAUGCGAAAGGUGAUGGGAUCGCUGCCCAGGUACUCCA
rnacentral:tRNA from 1 species